UGCUCAGGACGAACGCUGGCGGCGUGCCUAAUACAUGCAAGUCGAGCGAACAGAAGGGAGCUUGCUCCCGGAUGUUAGCGGCGGACGGGUGAGUAACACGUGGGUAACCUGCCUGUAAGACUGGGAUAACUCCGGGAAACCGGAGCUAAUACCGGAUAGUUCCUUGAACCGCAUGGUUCAAGGAUGAAAGACGGUUUCGGCUGUCACUUACAGAUGGACCCGCGGCGCAUUAGCUAGUUGGUGGGGUAAUGGCUCACCAAGGCGACGAUGCGUAGCCGACCUGAGAGGGUGAUCGGCCACACUGGGACUGAGACACGGCCCAGACUCCUACGGGAGGCAGCAGUAGGGAAUCUUCCGCAAUGGACGAAAGUCUGACGGAGCAACGCCGCGUGAGUGAUGAAGGUUUUCGGAUCGUAAAGCUCUGUUGUUAGGGAAGAACAAGUGCGAGAGUAACUGCUCGCACCUUGACGGUACCUAACCAGAAAGCCACGGCUAACUACGUGCCAGCAGCCGCGGUAAUACGUAGGUGGCAAGCGUUGUCCGGAAUUAUUGGGCGUAAAGGGCUCGCAGGCGGUUUCUUAAGUCUGAUGUGAAAGCCCCCGGCUCAACCGGGGAGGGUCAUUGGAAACUGGGAAACUUGAGUGCAGAAGAGGAGAGUGGAAUUCCACGUGUAGCGGUGAAAUGCGUAGAGAUGUGGAGGAACACCAGUGGCGAAGGCGACUCUCUGGUCUGUAACUGACGCUGAGGAGCGAAAGCGUGGGGAGCGAACAGGAUUAGAUACCCUGGUAGUCCACGCCGUAAACGAUGAGUGCUAAGUGUUAGGGGGUUUCCGCCCCUUAGUGCUGCAGCUAACGCAUAAGCACUCC
rnacentral:rRNA from 1 species